CCCAUGGACCGACUGGGGAGAGAGUGGUGUUGGAACAAGCAGGAAGAGAAAAGGGAGGGGGCACCUGGGGCCCUGGGGGAGCAGCCUUUUCCCAGGCCUUGCUGGGUAUCACUGGUUGGACAGGGUCAGGGAGGGGGCCUGCAAGAAGAGGGGCUCCCGGGCAGGGCUGACAGGCCAGACUCUGCCCAGGCUGGGCCCUGGCUCUGCCCACCUGCAUGCCACAUCUCCUGGGGUCUCCCAGAACCUGAUUAGAGCCACGCAGGCCCAGGGAUAAUCACCCUGGCCCCAGUGCCCGGCUCUGUGCCCAUGAGCCCUGGCCCUGGCAUCGGACCUCCUUGGAGCAUCUUUGGGUCUCAUCUCUGUUAAAUGCUCGAGCAACUGCAACCUGUCUACCACUCAAGCUCCACUUUCCAGAGACAAAACUCUAUGGAAAAGAACCAGUAAGGAAUAAAAGAGCAGUCAAGAUAGCAACAAGGCAGUUACACAAGAACAAAACCAUCAACUGAAGACAACAAGCAUGCUUCAACUGCAAGAGUCUUCUAAUAGUAUCAUCAGAUCAUAUAUACCAACAACUACGAUGGGUAAACUUUGAGAACACCAAUA